rnacentral:rRNA from 1 species
CAAUAGCGUAUAUUAAAGUUGUUGCAGUUAAAAAGCUCGUAGUUGGAUUUCUGGUGGGAGCGAUCGGUCUGGCGCUUAGCGCGAGUACUUGCAUCGUCUCCGGCCAUCCUUGGGGAGAGUCUGUCUGGCAUUAGGUUGUCGGGCAGAGGAUCUUCAUCGUUUACUGUGAAAAAAUUAGAGUGUUCAAAGCAGGCUUAUGCCGUUGAAUAUAUUAGCAUGGAAUAAUAAGAUAGGACUUUGGUACUAUUUUGUUGGUCUGCGCACCAAAGUAAUGAUUAAUAGGGACAGUUGGGGGUAUUCGUAUUCCGUUGUCAGAGGUGAAAUUCUUGGAUUUACGGAAGACGAACUACUGCGAAAGCAUUUACCAAGGAUGUUUUCAUUAA